UACGUAGGGUGCAAGCGUUGUCCGGAAUUAUUGGGCGUAAAGAGCGUGUAGGCGGCCCGAUUAGUCCGCUGUGAAAGCCCGGGGCUCAACCCCGGGAGGCGGGCGGAUACUGUCGGGCUAGAGUCCGGAAGAGGCGAGUGGAAUUCCUGGUGUAGCGGUGAAAUGCGCAGAUAUCAGGAGGAACACCGGUGGCGAAGGCGGCUCUCUGGACGGUGACUGACGCUGAGACGCGAAAGCGUGGGGAGCAAACAGG
rnacentral:rRNA from 1 species